rnacentral:tRNA from 1 species
GCCUGGGUGACUCAGUCGGUUGAGUGUCUGACUUCGGCUCAGGUCAGGAUCUCACAGUUCGUAGGUUCCAGCCCCACGUCGGGCU